UACGUAGGAGACGAGCGUUGUCCGGAGUUACUGGGCGUAAAGGGUGCGCAGGUGGCGGCGCGCGUGGGGGGUGAAAUCGCCCGGCUUAACUGGGCGGGGGCCUUCCAGACGGCGUGGCUUGAGCAGCGGAGGGGGACGUGGAAUUCCGGGUGGAGCGGUGAAAUGCGUAGAUAUCGGGAGGAACACCUGUGGCGAAAGCGGCGCACUGGACCAUAACUGACGCUGAUGCGCGAAAGCUAGGGGAGCAAACAGG
rnacentral:rRNA from 1 species